UACGGGGGGGGCAAGCGUUGUUCGGAAUUACUGGGCGUAAAGGGCUCGUAGGCGGCCAACUAAGUCAGACGUGAAAUCCCUCGGCUUAACCGGGGAACUGCGUCUGAUACUGGAUGGCUUGAGUCUGGGAGAGGGAUGCGGAAUUCCAGGUGUAGCGGUGAAAUGCGUAGAUAUCUGGAGGAACACCGGUGGCGAAGGCGGCAUCCUGGACCGGCACUGACGCUGAGGAGCGAAAGCCAGGGGAGCAAACGGG
rnacentral:rRNA from 1 species